CCCACCCUCGGGCUGGCUGAGAUCCCGCCACGGAUAACAUCUACAGGGACUUUCUAGGGUCUCACCAUGGCUGCCUGGCUUCCCUCCCACAGUCCGAAGAUAUUCUGAUAGGGAACUAAUUGACGGUGACUGUGACGAGGGGACAUCCUCUACGUCUGGAGGAAAGAAGGUGAAACAAGCCGUCCUUCAUCUACGAAAACAGAAGAAACCCGUCCGAGAAAUUGCUGAACUAUCAGGAGCGGCAAAAUCUACAGUUUGAGAAAUCCUAAGAAAGAAAGUACUGGUGACCUCAACAAUGUGAAAAGACCUGGACGCCCACUGAAGACAACAGUGGUGGAUGAUGGCAGA